UACGUAGGGCGCAAGCGUUGUCCGGAAUUAUUGGGCGUAAAGAGCUCGUAGGCGGUCUGUCGCGUCGAUCGUGAAAACUCGGGGCUCAACCCCGAGCCUGCAGUCGAUACGGGCAGGCUAGAGUUCGGUAGGGGGAGACUGGAAUUCCUGGUGUAGCGGUGAAAUGCGCAGAUAUCAGGAGGAACACCGAUGGCGAAGGCAGAUCUCUGGGCCGUAACUGACGCUGAGGAGCGAAAGCGUGGGGAGCGAACAGG
rnacentral:rRNA from 1 species